UAAUGAUUUUUGGAGUAUAAUCUUUAAUUUUUAUAAAAUUAAUUUGAUUUUGAAGGAUUUUUGAUGAAAAAAUCUCAAAAUUUUCGAAAUAUGUGAAAGUGUACCGGUAUAAAAUACCGUGUACCGGUACAAAUCACUGUAUACCGCGUUUUAUAACCGGUUACAGGAUCUCGUUUCUCACCCAAAUCAAAAUGAAAUUUCCUCCUUUCUCUCUCUAAAAAUCCC
rnacentral:lncRNA from 1 species